CUGCUGGCCACAACAGUCGUGAUAAUCUAGUGGGAUUAGGCAUAUGAUAAAUCAAUGAAAUCAAUGGAAAUUUAAGCAAGAAACAUCCAAGCUAGAAAUCAGACAUACAUUUUUAACAAUGUAAAGCUGAUGACUAGAACGCACUUUCGUCAGGAAAGGGUGGCUUUUGCAUGUCUCAGGCUCUCCACAUCAAGAGAAAACAUCAGUCUGGGAAACAGGCUUUAGUCAGACACAGUUAAGCAGCUCAGCACUGAAGAGAUCCUAGCUAAAACCCUAUAGCCUGGGAUAUGCAGGAAGGCAGAGCAAAUGAGCUACUGGGGACACGCUAACCUUAACAAUGUCUUUUCAUCAUUCCUCCAUCACUUCGGAGCAGAUGUUGCAUAAUUCCAGGUGCAUCCUUGCUCUCUGCUGCCAGAGUCCUUCUCCGAUGCCUUUAAGCUCAUUCCCUCGACUCCAGAGAGGACAAGCCCCACUGAAGCUGAUGCUGUAGCAGUGCAGGAGACUUGGUGCCUGCACUCUGGGGUCCCACCUGCUCCUCAGCCCAAGUCACCCCACUCUGGGCAGCUCUUAGACAUGGAGCCUGCGGCCCAGCACAGGCCUCCAGACCUGGGGAUGGCAGCGCCCGGGAGCCUCAUGAGCGGCAACUCUGCCAGACGCUCACUCCGCCUCCCUGAAUCUCUCAAGCCCAAGGCUGCUUGUAACACUGAGUAAUUUCAAACAAACCAAGCCAAAGUAACAACAACUAAAACUUUCAAAGAUAAUGAAAACUUAGUUUUGAAUAAUCCACAUCACCCAUUCUUCUCCUUGCUGUUGCUCUCCAGGUGUGCAUGGUGAGAUCUUUCUCUUCCAAUUUACUCAAAGGUCUCAAGCCCUUUUGAGACUCUUUGGGUCCUCCUGUAUCACUAGACAUCUCUUCAGACUCUCAAGUGACCUCCUGGAGCAUAUUUAUUAUUACUGCUAUUCCUUAAAUAGCAACAGCAAUGAGCAUGGCCUUACUGGAGCAGGCUCUUGAGCAAGUGAAGACACAGAUUGCUACAUGAAGGCAUUUUCCUGGAGUGCCUCAGUGCCUAGUUCCUGUAUAAAUCAAUUAUCAUUGAUUCAAAUAAUUCUUCUGAAUGAGAGUUAAGCACUGAGGUGCUUCUGAAAAUCCCACAAGGCAUCAAUCUGAACCUCCAGCAGGCAAAGUACCUUUAGAAACCUGGCCCUAAGCAACCCAGAGCCCUAAAUUCCUGUUUCAGAAAUGAAUUAUGCACUUAGGAGACUAUGGCCUGAGAGUAAGAUCCAGGCUUCUGUGUUCCCCACAGGUCUUAAAAUUGAGAUUUGAAAAUCACUUAAGUGGUUCUGAAAUUUUCAUCCAUUCCUCUCAGGAUCAUAAUUCUGUGGUCUUAAUCCUGUGACCAGAUGCAAGGACACGGGUACUGGGGUCCUUGACAGAACCUAUGCAACCCAAGAUGGUUUCCAGGCAAUGUCCUGCCCCCAGAGACAUGCCACAGAGAAAGGAAAUUAGAUGAAACAGUAUGGGAAUAGUAUUGAGCACACACAGCUAACUGGGGACUUUUGCAGAACAGUAUUUUUAUCCUAGCAAAGACUGUGGAGCACUUCAACAGAGGAAGCACUCAGCUGCUGGGGCCUGAUGUCUCACCAAAGGGCAGUGGCUUCCCCCAGAGGGCUGCCUACUGGGGGAUCAGAGUUUGGGGUUAUCAUCUUACUG
ensembl:lncRNA